AGAGUAUUGAUCCUGGUUCAGAACGAACGCUGGCGGCGUGCCUAACACAUGCAAGUCGAACGGAAUGAGGGGCUUGCUCCUCAUUUAGUGGCGCACGGGUGAGUAACGCGUAGAUAAUCUGCCUGAUGAUCUGGGAUAACACUUCGAAAGGGGUGCUAAUACCGGAUAAGCCCACGAUGGCCUUGGUCGUUGCGGGAAAAGGGGGGGACCUUCGGGCCUUCUGUCAUCAGAUGAGUCUGCGUACCAUUAGCUAGUUGGUAGGGUAAUGGCCUACCAAGGCUUCGAUGGUUAGCUGGUCUGAGAGGAUGAUCAGCCACACUGGAACUGAGACACGGUCCAGACUCCUACGGGAGGCAGCAGUGGGGAAUUUUGCGCAAUGGGCGAAAGCCCGACGCAGCAACGCCGCGUGAGUGAUGAAGGCUUUCGGGUCGUAAAGCUCUGUCGAGGGGAAAGAAAUGUAUUUGGGUUAAUACCCUGGAUACUUGACGGUACCCCUAAAGGAAGCACCGGCUAACUCCGUGCCAGCAGCCGCGGUAAUACGGGGGGUGCAAGCGUUGUUCGGAAUUAUUGGGCGUAAAGCGCGUGUAGGCGGUUUGUUAUGUCUGUUGUGAAAGCCCUGGGCUCAACCCAGGAAGUGCACUGGAUACUGGCAGACUUGAAUACGGGAGAGGGCAGUGGAAUUCCUGGUGUAGGAGUGAAAUCCGUAGAUAUCAGGAGGAACACCGGUGGCGAAGGCGGCUGCCUGGACCGAUAUUGACGCUGAGACGCGAAAGCGUGGGGUAGCAAACAGGAUUAGAUACCCUGGUAGUCCACGCCGUAAACGAUG
rnacentral:rRNA from 1 species